rnacentral:rRNA from 1 species
UCUGAAGGGAAGAUUAAUACAAGAUGGCAUCAUGAGUCCGCAUGUUCACAUGAUUAAAGGUAUUCCGGUAGACGAUGGGGAUGCGUUCCAUUAGAUAGUAGGCGGGGUAACGGCCCACCUAGUCUUCGAUGGAUAGGGGUUCUGAGAGGAAGGUCCCCCACAUUGGAACUGAGACACGGUCCAAACUCCUACGGGAGGCAGCAGUGAGGAAUAUUGGUCAAUGGGCGAGAGUCUGAACCAGCCAAGUAGCGUGAAGGAUGACUGCCCUAUGGGUUGUAAACUUCUUUUAUAAAGGAAUAAAGUCGGGUAUGCAUACCCGUUUGCAUGUACUUUAUGAAUAAGGAUCGGCUAACUCCGUGCCAGCAGCCGCGGUAAUACGGAGGAUCCGAGCGUUAUCCGGAUUUAUUGGGUUUAAAGGGAGCGUAGAUGGAUGUUUAAGUCAGUUGUGAAAGUUUGCGGCUCAACCGUAAAAUUGCAGUUGAUACUGGAUAUCUUGAGUGCAGUUGAGGCAGGCGGAAUUCGUGGUGUAGCGGUGAAAUGCUUAGAUAUCACGAAGAACUCCGAUUGCGAAGGCAGCCUGCUAAGCUGCAACUGACAUUGAGGCUCGAAAGUGUGGGUAUCAAACAGGAUUAGAUACCCUGGUAGUCCACACGGUAAACGAUGAAUACUCGCUGUUUGCGAUAUACAGCAAGCGGCCAAGCGAAAGCGUUAAGUAUUCCACCUGGGGAG